CGGAGAGGCAUCUCUACCGUCUGGAAAGUUUUUCGGUCUGGGAUGGACUCGCGGCCUAUCAGCUAGUUGGUGAGGUAAUGGCUCACCAAGGCGACGACGGGUAGCCGGCCUGAGAGGGCGACUGGCCACACUGGGACUGAGACACGGCCCAGACUCCUACGGGAGGCAGCAGUGGGGAAUAUUGCACAAUGGGCGAAAGCCUGAUGCAGCGACGCCGCGUGAGGGAUGACGGCCUUCGGGUUGUAAACCUCUUUCAGCAGGGAAGAAGCGAAAGUGACGGUACCUGCAGAAGAAGCACCGGCUAACUACGUGCCAGCAGCCGCGGUAAUACGUAGGGUGCGAGCGUUGUCCGGAAUUAUUGGGCGUAAAGAGCUUGUAGGCGGUUUGUCGCGUCUGCAGUGAAAAUCCGAGGCUCAACCUCGGACUUGCUGUGGGUACGGGCAGACUAGAGUAUGGUAGGGGAGACCGGAAUUCCUGGUGUAGCGGUGGAAUGCGCAGAUAUCAGGAGGAACACCGAUGGCGAAGGCAGGUCUCUGGGCCAUAACUGACGCUGAGAAGCGAAAGCAUGGGGAGCGAACAGGAUUAGAUACCCUGGUAGUCCAUGCCGUAAACGUUGGGCGCUAGGUGUGGGGCUCAUUCCACGAGCUCCGUGCCGCAGCUAACGCAUUAAGCGCCCCGCCUGGGGAGUACGGCCGCAAGGCUAAAACUCAAAGGAAUUGACGGGGGCCCGCACAAGCGGCGGAGCAUGCGGAUUAAUUCGAUGCAACGCGAAGAACCUUACCAAGGCUUGACAUAUACCGGAAACAUCCAGAGAUGGGUGCCCCGCAAGGUCGGUAUACAGGUGGUGCAUGGUUGUCGUCAGCUCGUGUCGUGAGAUGUUGGGUUAAGUCCCGCAACGAGCGCAACCCUCGUUCUAUGUUGCCAGCGCGUAGUGGCGGGGACUCAUAGGAGACUGCCGGGGUCAACUCGGAGGAAGGUGGGGAUGACGUCAAAUCAUCAUGCCCCUUAUGUCUUGGGCUUCACGCAUGCUACAAUGGCCGGUACAAAGGGCUGCGAUACCGCGAGGUGGAGCGAAUCCCAAAAAAACCGGUCUCAGUUCGGAUUGGGGUCUGCAACUCGACCCCAUGAAGUCGGAGUCGCUAGUAAUCGCAGAUCAGCAACGCUGCGGUGAAUACGUUCCCGGGCCUUGUACACACCGCCCGUCAAGUCACGAAAGUCGGUAACACCCGAAGCCGGUGGCCCAACCCUUGUGGAGGGAGCCGUCGAAGGUGGGACUGGCGAUUGGGACUAAGUCGGAACAAGGUA
rnacentral:rRNA from 1 species